rnacentral:tRNA from 1 species
GGUUCUAUAGUGUAGUGGUCAUCAAAUCUGCUUUACACGCAGAAAGUCUUGGGUUCAAUCCCCAGUGGAACCA